rnacentral:rRNA from 1 species
UGACCAGACUCCUACGGGAGGCAGCAGUGAGGAAUAUUGGUCAAUGGGCGGAAGCCUGAACCAGCCAAGUCGCGUGAGGGAAGAAGGCCCUGCGGGUCGCAGACCUCUUUGGACGGGGAGCAAGGCCGCCGACGUGUCGGCGGAAGGAGAGUACCCGUAGAACAAGCAUCGGCUAACUCCGUGCCAGCAGCCGCGGUAAUACGGAGGAUGCGAGCGUUAUCCGGAUUUAUUGGGUGUAAAGGGAGCGUAGACGGCAGCGCAAGUCUGAAGUGAAAUCCCAUGGCUUAACCAUGGAACUGCUUUGGAAACUGUGCAGCUGGAGUGCAGGAGAGGUAAGCGGAAUUCCUAGUGUAGCGGUGAAAUGCGUAGAUAUUAGGAGGAACACCAGUGGCGAAGGCGGCUUACUGGACUGUAACUGACGUUGAGGCUCGAAAGCGUGGGGAGCAAACAGGAUUAGAUACCCCUGUAAA